rnacentral:rRNA from 1 species
AGUGAACGCUGGCGGUAGGCCUAACACAUGCAAGUCGAACGGCAGCACAGGAGAGCUUGCUCUCUGGGUGGCGAGUGGCGGACGGGUGAGGAAUACAUCGGAAUCUACUCUGUCGUGGGGGAUAACGUAGGGAGACUUACGCUAAUACCGCAUACGACCUACGGGUGAAAGCAGGGGAUCUUCGGACCUUGCGCGAUUGAAUGAGCCGAUGUCGGAUUAGCUAGUUGGCGGGGUAAAGGCCCACCAAGGCGACGAUCCGUAGCUGGUCUGAGAGGAUGAUCAGCCACACUGGAACUGAGACACGGUCCAGACUCCUACGGGAGGCAGCAGUGGGGAAUAUUGGACAAUGGGCGCAAGCCUGAUCCAGCCAUACCGCGUGGGUGAAGAAGGCCUUCGGGUUGUAAAGCCCUUUUGUUGUGAAAGAAAUCCAGCUGGCUAAUACCCGGUUGGGAUGACGGUACCCAAAGAAUAAGCACCGGCUAACUUCGUGCCAGCCGCCGCGGUAA